GGCUGCCUACGGGGGGCAGCAGUGGGGGAUAUUGGACAAUGGGGGAAACCCUGAUCCAGCGAUGCCGCGUGAGGGAAGAAGGUCUUCGGAUUGUAAACCUCUGUGGAGGGGGACGAUAAUGACGGUACCCCUUUAGGAAGCCACGGCUAACUACGUGCCAGCAGCCGCGGUAAUACGUAGGUGGCGAGCGUUGUCCGGAAUUACUGGGUGUAAAGGGAGUGAAGGCGGGGAAGCAA
rnacentral:rRNA from 1 species